AUUGAACGCUGGCGGCGUGCUUAACACAUGCAAGUCGAUCGGUAACAGGUGUAGCAAUACAUGCUGACGAGAGGCGGACGGGUGAGGAAUAUUUGGGAAUCUGCCCAUCAGCGGGGGACAACCCGGGGAAACCCGGGCUAAUACCGCAUACGCUCUACGGAGGAAAGCCGGGGACCGCAAGGCCUAGCACUGAUGGAUGAGCCCAAAUCGGAUUAGCUAGUUGGCGGGGUAACGGCCCACCAAGGCGACGAUCCGUAGCUGGUCUGAGAGGACGAUCAGCCACACCGGAACUGAGACACGGUCCGGACUCCUACGGGAGGCAGCAGUGGGGAAUAUUGGACAAUGGGGGAAACCCUGAUCCAGCGACGCCGCGUGGGUGAAGAAGGCCUGCGGGUUGUAAAGCCCUUUCGGUAGGGACGAAAGCUCUUGCUCCAACAAAGCAGGAGGUUGACUUAACCUACAUAAGAAGCACCGGCUAACUCUGUGCCAGCCGCCGCCGUAACAC
rnacentral:rRNA from 1 species